AAAACGCAUUGAACGAGUACCGACUACGGCAGAAAUGAGUGUGUAGUUCUGUGUAUCUACUCGCCUGCAAGCAAUAGAAAUCCACAAUGAAGAAGCUGACUCUCGUACUGGUCGUCGUUCUGGUCUGCACCGCAGUGAUGGUGACGCAGGCUGAGGCAGCUCCCCCGAAGAGGCCCGGUGACCCAGGCUAUCGCCGACGGCCGAAACCCGUGAAAUGUGGGGAUAAAACCUGUGCGCCACAUCAGCGCUGCGAAAGACAGCUAGUACCGGUACCGACAUGUUACUGAAAUAAAGUUUCCAGCAAGAAAGCACCCGUUGAAUGAAAGUCAGCUUGAUAAAUCACUAUAUCGUGAAAUAAACAAUCGUUCGAAAAGAA